UUCAUGGGGAUAACUCCCUCACACACACGUCACGCCGACACUCGGCGGCCCCGGCAAACUUCAAAGCGCUCUUCAAUCAGCUGUGAGGGUUGUUGGGUCUCCCUGUCUAUAGCGCCAGCACCGUCUCCCCGCAUUGCCAGAGAGCCAGCGAGUCGCUCUCCACCCAACGUCUACUCACCCUAUAACCAGCAUUUGCAACUUCUGUCCUGCCUCCCUCCCUCGGUGCCCGAGUUAUGUAUCACUGCCAUGUGUAUUAUGUGAGCUAUCGCAGCUCGGCAGCGAGACUUCUUUCAUCUCCGAGUGUGGACCGCACGGCACCCGGCCCCGCCGCUGGGUUUCAGUGAGAUACUGAGGGCGCCACGUUCAGUCCGAGCGCUGUCGGGGAUCCAUCUUCUCUCCGAUGCUGCUACGCCGGUGUUUGUAGAAGGACGGGUUUGCUGCCAAGCCGGGGAAUCAAGCCGCCCCACUCACCGAGGCUGGACUGUUAUCCAACCCGCAAUCAAUAUCAGAAAGAAGAACAGUCCCGGCUGUCCGGCAUAACUUGGAGACACAAGAGACUGCAGGUGCUGCAAUCUUGAACCAAACACAAAGUGCUGGAGGAACUCAGCGGGCCACGCAGCAUCAGUGGAAGGAAUAAACAGGCGACGUUUCGGGUCGGGACCCCUCUUCAGACCUUAGCAUCCUGAUUAUGGGAUCCCACCUUACAGAGUGAUUGCAUUUUACCAGUCUCAGUCUGCGUGGCACUUUGAAGUAUCCUGUGGUCAGAAAAAACAAUCUAGAAAUGUAACCGCCACACGCCAUGCAUGGCACUCGCGCCGGGGUUAGCAACUGCUGGUUGCCCUCGAACUGAUGCAUUCAUAAUGCCAGGUAGUCAUAAAAAUAGGGGACAUUACAUAACAACUCUGGUUACAUAAAAACGAUGCAAAUUAAUUGUAAAUUAUUAUUGUUCGUUCUUUUUUUUCUGAGUUGUUGUUAUAUUAUUUAUUAUGACUACAUAUUCUGUUGUGCUGCAGCAAGUAAAACAAUUUCAUUGUUCUAUCUGUGACACGUAACAAUAAAACACUCUUGACUCUUGACUCUAAAGUUGUUCGAAUCUCCAGAACCAGGGGCCACAGUCUUAGAAUAAAGGGGAGGUCAUUUAAGGCUGAGGUGGGGAAAAAAACGUUUUCACCCAGAAAGUUGUGAAUUUAUGGAAUUCUCUGCCACAGAGGGCAGCGGAGGCCAAUUCACUGGAUGGAUUUAAGAAAGAGUUAGAUAGAGCUCUAUGGACUAGUGGAGUCAAGGGAUAUGGGGAGAAGGCAGGCACGGGUUAUUGAUAGUGGACGAUCAGCCAUGAUCACAAUGAAUGGCGGUGCUGGCUCGAAGGGCCGAACAGCCUCCUCCUGCGCCUAUUUUCUAUGUUUCUAUGAAAUGAGUGCAAGUUGGCCUGGAGUUAUAUUUUGUGUGGCCAGGAAUUAAUUUCAUAUCUGCCCCAUACUUUAGUUUCUACAGAUCUCAUGGACAUGCGCUCUGAACUGCCGAGUCCGUUUCUUAAGAGUCGGGAGUGGAGAACAUUGCUAUUGCAGGAAUAGUUCACAGCGAAGGAAGUUUAACUGCUGUAAAACUGAGUGUUUACUCGCACGUUUGGCCAAAUACAUCAGUCAGUUGUCUGACCGGCAAUUGGAUGAAGUGAAAUCUUCAGACCAUGGUUUAAAAAAGAACCUAUGGGAAGGAAUUACAGAUGCUGGUUUACACCGAAGAUAGUCACAGAAUGGUAGAAUAACUCAGCGGGACAUGCAGCAUCUCUGGAGAAGGAAUCCCUUCCUGCUAACUCUGGAUACCAGGGAUCUUCUUUAGAUCCAGUCACUGCUGCAAUGAAAAGCUUAUCAGUCAACAGAGAGCAAACUGCCACUAGUAUCAAUGUGAUAUUGACCAGACAAACAGGUUUAUUUUGCUAGUUUAACUGAGGGAACUGUAAAGGCAAGAAUCCUGGGCUAACUCAGUUAUAUUAUUCGAUGUUUUCUGUUCACUCAAAAAUCUCAUGAAGAACAGCAUCUUAGUGAGGAGGUUCCUGUUGGGCUGGAUUGGAGUUUGCUUGACUGAGACAUUCUGAGGUCAUAAAUGCACUUUCCUUCUUUACUCCUUAGCAUGUUGGUGUAAACAUCAUCCCCUCCAAGCUGGUUUCCAAGCUCGCGGAACUGGGUCUCUGCGCAUCUCCCUGCAUAUGGAUCCUCGACUUCCUCAUCCACAUACCACAGGCUGUUCGAAUUGGUAGAAAUACUUCACCCUCAUUAACAAUCAGUACGGGAGCAUCUCAAGGCUGUGUAUUCAGCCCCCUGCUCUACUCACUCUAUACUCAUGACUGUGUAGCCGGCCGGACAUAGUGCAAACUCCAUCUUCAAGUUUGCCGAUGACACCACCAUUGAUGGACGAAUUACAGAUGGGGAUGAGUCCGAGUAUAGAAGUGAGAUCGACCGAUUGAACAAAUGGUGUCAGCACAACAACCUGGCUCUCAAUGCCAAUGAACUGAUUGUGGACUUUGGAAGAGGAAGGAUGAGGGACCACAAUCCUGUUUUUAUGCCGGUGGAGAGAGUCAAAAACUUCAAAUUCCUGGACGUGCAUAUUUCAGAAGAUCUUCCCUGGACCCAGCACACUGAUGCAAUUAUAAAUAAAGCACUUUGGAACUGUU